GGAGCCGACCGGGCAGUCGCUGCGACGUGAGGCACACAGUCGCACCGUCGUAGAGGAAAGUCCGGGCUCCACAGGGCUGGGUGUCAGGUAACGCCUGGGGGACGUGAGUCCACGGAAAGUGCCACAGAAAAUAUACCGCCAAGACAGUGCUCAGUUUUAAUCCACUGCGUUGCUGUCGUGGUAAGGGUGAAAAGGUGCGGUAAGAGCGCACCGCGCCGGUGGUAACAUCGGUGGCAGGGUAAACCCCACCCGGAGCAAGACCAAAUAGGGGAGCUCGUCAUGCUCGAACAUGACAAAGCGUGGCCCGCGCUGCUCCCGGGUAGGUCGCUAGAGAUGCACGGCGACGUGCAUCCCAGAUGAAUGACUGCACUCGACAGAACCCGGCUUACAGGUCGGCUCCCGCG
rnacentral:RNase_P_RNA from 1 species